AAGUUAUUUCCCGGGGACAAUUUGUCUUGAAAACAAAUUUAAAGUGUUCGACUCACUUAAUGACUUA
rnacentral:tRNA from 1 species